CUCUUGACAGUUCAGGGGUAUGAAGAUGUUAUAGGUCUCCGUGGAUGGAGUCAGCUUGUUUGGGGCUAGAAAGGCCUUUAAGACUCUAGAAUUAUCACAGUCACAAAUACUUGUCAACUUUACCUCACUUCUGCCACCCUCACUUUCCCCCAUCUCUGGGACCACCAAGCUGUCUAGGCCAUUGUCAUCUCUUGCCUGGGCUUUUGCAAUGGUCUUCUAACUGCUCCCUACUUCUAGUCUGGUCUCUUCCGGUGCUUCCUCCACAGGGAAAUUCUCAUCAUGCCAGCCCCCUUGCUUCAACCUGUACAGGCUUGCCACUGUCUGUAGGAGAACACGAGGUAAUGCUGCUGGUAAGGCCCUGCACACCUAGCCCUUCCUUGGCUCCACAGCUCCAGCUCUAUCACCUCUCCCGAUCAUCCUCCUAACUCCUCCUAAGCACAGGCUCUCAGUUCCUUUGGGGAUCUGUUCCUUUCCACCUCAGUGCCAUUGAACAUGCUAUUCCCUUGGCCUAGAAUGUUCUCACCUCUACCCUCUGCUUAGCAAACUGUUUUUCCCCGAGGUCCACCUCAAGCAUCCCCUCCCUGUGGAGCUCAGCCUCUUCCUCCACAUGCUCCCAGGCAAUAUUGACCAUAUCCUCCUCCAUGUCAUUGGGUGUCAUUGGGUAUCCCUGUUGUUGUUGUUAGGUACCGUCAAGCCAGUUCUGAACUCAUAGUGACCCUAUGUACAACAGAACAAAACACUGCCCAGUCCCAAGCCAUUCUCAUGAUCGUUGUUAUGGGUAUCCCUGUACAGGAGCACUUAUUCUGCAUAAUCAUGAUUUGUUUGUCUGUCUAGCUUGACUACCAGACCCUUGAGUCCUUGAGGAAGAGACCUUGUCUUGCUCAUGUUUAUCCCGUGGUGCCUAGCACAGGGCUUGGAACACACUUGGUCUUCAAGAAGUGCUUAUUAAGUAAAGUUUAAAUGAAGGCAAAAGUAGGAUAUAGGAGACCAGAAGAGGCAGAGAGAGUUCAGCUCAAAUAAGAGUGGUUAGGAAAGGCUUUACAAAGUAGUUGGGUUUGGAGAUAAAGUAAGAAUUAAGAGAGGGGUUGGUUAGAGUGAGACAUUCAAUUUCUGGCCAAGAUUGUGUAAAAUACUGGGCUUUAACCCAUCGCCUUCCAUGUGGGAGGCCGAGGUUUGAUUCCCGGACGAUUCACCGCGUGUGCAGCCACCACUCAUCUGUCGCUGGAGACGUGUGUUGCUAUGUAGCUGAACAGGUUUCAGCAGAAUUUCCAGACUAAGACAGGCCAAGAAGAAAGGCCUGAUGGUCUGUUUCAGAAUAUCAGCCAAUGAAAACUCUGUAGGUCACAAUAAUCUGAUUCCAUUUUAUCUGGGGCCUCCAUGAACUGGGGGCUGCUUUGAUAGCAGUUAACAACAACAACAACAAUUAAAAAAAAAAAAUGGUAUGGUUAAAAGUAAAACAAGGAGAAGGAGGAAGGGGAGAGAAGGUUGCUGCAUUCAAAAGCAAGAUAAACAUAUUUGUUGAUGUGGUGAUAGAACUAUGGUUGGAAUCAAGGUCUUUCUGGGCUCUGUUCUCAAGUUGGCAGAGGCACAAAGGGUUUGACUCCUGUAGCUACAGGGUCCCAAAGUGCUUCACCUAUAGAGGAAGGCUGGAACCAGUCUCUCUGCUUGAAACAGGGGCUUGGGUCUGAACUUCUCUUGGAGAAAGGCCAGAUAAAUUUGUAUACAUCUCCAACAUCGUGGCUCUUAUGGGGCUGCUUCCCUGCAGUGGUGGGAGGACAAGUCAGAGGCCACAGCUGCCUUAUGCCCAUUGUCGCCACUGGACAGUAGCCUUAAGCCACCAGUGUAAGGCUUGGUUUGACUAGGGGGUCCUGGAAGUCAGAGGCUACCAAAAAAAAAAAAAAGCCAAGAGGAAGGAGUGUAAAGAGAGGGGGAGAUUAAAAAAAAUUCCUGUUCAAGAUGAGCCUGCACACAUACUCAAAAUUCAAAGUAUAUAAAAGGAUAUUGAACUUAAAAAAAAAAGGAAGACUCAGCAGUUUGGACGUACACAUUACGGAACAGCCGGAAAAGAGUUUAAAAUAAGAGAACAAGAAUGUGUUAAAAAUGCAGAAAUUAAACAAGAAUAGUCAAAUAUGGUAAGUAGUGGAAAUGAGAAACUCUAAACUAGGAUACACUCUAGAUUAUGUGUGAUUAUGACUGAAUUGGAAGCUAACAUUGAGGAAUUCACACUGAAUGCAACACUGGGAGAUAAUGACAGGUGCAGUACGAGAAAAAAAAACUUGAGACUAGGUAAGCACUGUGGGGCUCAGUUAACUGUUUGAGAGGAUUUCCGGAAGAGGAGACUAAAGGAAAAAGGGAGAAGCAAUACUGGAAGAGAUCUUGGUUGAGAAUUUUCCACAAUUAAAGGCAAAAGCCCUCAGAUUAAAAGUGCCCUCAGAGCACCAAGUAGGAUAAAUAAAAAUAUAUCCGUCUCUGCACAUAACCAAGUGAACCACAAGAUAUCAAGAGCAAAGAGAGGACGGCACCCCAGAAAGCUAGGGUAAGGUUUGAAGUAUGUUUGCAGGAUCUGCAGUCGCAGCUUGGAUGGGACAGAGAGAAAAAGCUGAGCUGUAAUGGGGAAAAACCCACACAUUAUAUCUCGUAUCUGACUUGUCAUCUUCCCACCCUCCUCAGUGCUGACACAUGCUUGCUGUAAUGUUGAGUUGCAUCAAAUUGCUGUGGAUCGUUCAAGAACAUUCAAAUAGAAGUGUCUGAAAUGCAACUGGAGAGCCAGCAUGUAAAUUCAGGAGAGAGGCCAGGACUGGGGAUACAGCCUCUGAAAUGAUGCAAGAGUGGGUAUGAUUGCAAAGGAAGGUUCUGUAGAAAGAAACGAGCAGAAGAACCUUCAGAGAAGACCACAUUUAAGGGGAGGAGUGAAGAAAGCAUCUAGAGAAUAAUAUAUAACAUUGGCGCAGAAUCCAGGUAAUUCUGUAGGAAAUUCAGGAUGGGGCUUGAGAAAGUGGAAAGGUUUCAUGGAGGAGGUGGGUACGGACAGGUUUGGGCUAUAAAGGAGACAUGGAGGGGACUUUCAAGGCUGAGACUGCAAGCUUGUGGCAGGAAGAGAGUGUAAGCCUGUGUCCUACGUACUUGUUGUUGGUUGAUGAUGAGAUGAGAGGCUCACUGGUAAGGAGGAAGAGAGAAGAAGGAGGACAUGAUGGAUGGGGUGGGGAGUUGAGGGUAAUGUUGGAUGAGGUGACAUCGGCUUCUGGAAUUCAUUAAUUGUUCACUCACUUAAAUACAUUUCUGCCAUUCUUUCUUUUUAAAUUAUGAAAACAUUUGAACACAGAAAAAUACUCCAAAUAAUAUAAAAACACCCACAUACCCAUCCUUUAGAACUAAGAAAGGGGAAACCCUGGUGGUGUAGUGGUUAGGCACUAUGGCUGCUAACCCAAAAGGUCAGCAGUUCAAAUCCACCAGGUGCUCCUUAGAAACUCUAUGGGGGCAGUUCUGCUGUGUCCUAUAGGGUUGCUGUAAGUUGGAACGGACUUGUUGGCAAUGGGUUUAUUUACUUACUUAUUUUUAGAACUAAUAAAUAUUAACAUUUUGUCAUAUUUGCUUCAGAUGAAUACUCCCAAGUCCCACCCGUAGUCUCCUCCCCAGAAGCAAAAAAAAAAAAUUUUUUUUAAUGUAUCAAUUAUGACAGAAGGAUGUUAAAUUUCCAACUAUGAUUUAUAGAUUUGUCUAUUUCUCCCUUCAAUUCUAUCAGUUUUUUGCCUCAUGUAUUUUGAAAUUCUUGGGUGCAUACACAUUUAAGUUUGUUCUGUCUUCUUGGUGAGCUGACCCUUUUAUUAUUCCGAAAUGUCCCUCUUUAUGUCUGGUAAUACUUUGUUUUGAAGUCUACUUUGUCCGAUGUUAAUAUAGCCACUCUAGGUUUCUUAUGUUUCCUGUUUGCAUGAUCUGUCUUUUCUAUCCUUUUGAUUCCAACUUGUCCCUUGCUGUUUUAAUACUUUUAUUGUAUUUAUUAACUGUAUAGAAUAUUUUAUGAGAAUGUUUCAUAUACAGAAUUGCUAUCAUAUCUUAUAUCUUUGAGUUAUUUGAUAAUAUAGCAUGAUUUCAUUUAUUUUAAAUGCUGUGGACUAUUAUCUUGUGAAUAUACUACAAUUCAGUGGACUUCAAAACAGAGUAUUCAUAUGCCUGGGGGUACACAGAGAUUAUGCUUGUGGAUACACAUAAUUUUUUUUAAUUAAAAAAAUUUUUUUAUUGUGGUGAAACACAUGGAGCAAAGUAUUUUAACCAUUGUUUUAGCCUCCUAGUGCUGCCAUAACAGAAAUACCACAAGUGGAUGACUUUAACAAAGAGAAAUUUAUUUUCUCACAGUCUAGUAGGUUACAAGUGCAAAUUCAGGGCGUCAGUGCAAAUUCAGGGCGUCAGCUCCAGGGGAAGGAUUUCUCUCUCUAUCGGCUCUGGAAGAAAGUCCCUGUCCUCAAUCUUCCCCUGGUCGAGGAGCUUCUCAGAAGCAGUGACCACGGGUCCAAAGGACGCGCUCUGCUCCUGGUGCUGCUUUCUUGGUGGUGUGAGAUCUCCCACUCUCUGCUUGCUUCUCUUUCCUUUUAUCUCUUGAGAGAUAAAAGUUGGUGCAAGCCACACCCCAGGGAAAUCCCCUUUACCUUGGAUCAAGGAGGUGACCUGAGUAAGGGUGGUGUUACAAUUCCACCCUCAUCCUCUCAACAUAAAAUUACAAUCACAAAAUGGAGGACUACCACACAAUAAAGGGAUUCAUGGCCUAACCAAGUUGAUACACAUGUUUUUGGGGGGAUGUAAUUCAGUCCAUGACAACCAUUUUUACAUGGACAAUUCAGUGACAUUAAUUACAUUUACCAUGUUGUACAACAGUGGUUAACUACUGUUUAACCACUAACCAUUUCCCAGUUUUUUCAUAACCCACAAAAACUCUGUAUCCCUUAAGCAAUAUCUCUCCAUUUCUCCCUCCCACCCACCUCGGGUAAACACUAAUGAACUUUGGUCUCUGCAUUUGCAUAUUCUGUAUAUUUCAUAUAAGUGGGAUCAUACAAUAUUUGUCUCUAAGCAUAAUGUUUUCAAGGUUCAUCUAUGUUGGCUGAAUAAUAAUCCAUGUUGUCAGGAGGGAUCAGUCCCUGGAGAAGGAUAUCAUGCUUUGUAAAGUACAGGGUCGGUGGAAAAGAGGAAAACUCUCAAUGAGAUGGACUGACACAGUGGCUGCAACAAUGGGCUCAAGCAUAACAACAAUUGUGAGCAUAGCGCAGGACUGGGCAGUAUUUCGUUCUGUGGUACAUAGGGUCACUAUGAGUCAGGACCGACUUGAUGGCACCUAACAGCAACAAUAAUCCAUUGUAUGUUUGUACCACAUUUUGUUUAUCCAUUUAUCUGUUGAUGGACAUUUAGGUUGUUUCCACCUAUUGGCUUUUGUGAAAAGUGCUUCAAUGAGUAUUGGAACACUUAUCUAUUUGUGUUCCUCCUUUUGAUUCUUUUGGGUAUGAUUUAGGAGAUCAUAUUGAAGCCAUUAUUCCCUGUUCUUGAGCAUAAAGAAUGUGAUUCAGCUGUAGCUGGACUCACAAGGACCCACAAAGACUCACAAAGACACGUCAACUGGGCCUUGAGGUUUAAAGACAAUUAAAAAAAAAAAAUCUUGGAAAACAUCUUUUUAGGGAAACUUUCACAUAAAUCAUAAACAGAGCAUAAAAGACCCACAUACUUUCCACUCUUAUCUUUUUCUAUCAGCAUUUAAUGAAUAGUAAGAUUUGUUGGACCAGUGGAGACCCUCCUGACUGCCCUUACUGAAACCUGUACCAAUGAUUAUUAAGAAAGAAUUCAGAAUGUAGAACCACGGUGACUUAACAGUUUUUAGCCAAUCUGUGAAAAGGUGAUGCUUUCAAUGGUUUUGCCCAUUUGUAAUGUUAAUAUACACUGCUGAUCCUGUAACAGUCCUUGGACUUGGACAGACACAUCUGUGGCAGCGUGCUUGUCAGUUUUCCCACUUCUACCUAUUUUGUAAUAUUCUUUGGAUUCAGGCAGACAUGGCUCUGGCAGCAUGCUUGUCCAUUUCCUACUUUUGCCUCUUUGAAUAUAUGCCAAAUAAAACUUUUCUUUUUUCUUUACUAAACUUUGUGGUGAUUUUACCCUAGAACAGGUGUAUACCUAGGAGUACAAUUGCUGUUUAACUGCUAAUUCUAUGUUUGGCUUUUUGAGGAACCACCAAGCUGCUUUCCACAGUGUACGCGGUAAGCAUCGUUUCAAGGUAAUCCUUCUCUAGAGCUUCAUGACUGAAGGACAAAUGCCUGUGUCUAGUCUUUGGGUAGGUUCUCCUCCCCACCUCCCCCUUCAGAAUGGCCCUUCUCCUAUUUUAAAACAGAAAGACAGAUCUCUUAUCCUCCUAUAUCUCCUAUAAAAUGGUGCAAUGCCCUGGAGGUACAAACCCCCCCAGGGCACCAAACAAAUGGAUAAAUCCAAAUAUUUUUCGUUUAAUGUCCAUCCCCUUAGGGAUGCUUUUGCCUGAGAGUCUCCAAGAGCCAAGCAAAGAGGGAGUCUUAGAGAAAUGCUGGAGGGACAGUGCCUCAUGAUAGCCCCCUGGGCCUCAUCAUUCCACCCAUUUCUAUUGCAAGGUAGAAUUCCAAAGUGGGACAGUUAUUGUGGGGAUGCACAUUAAGAUGUUUAUUUGGAUUGCAAAAGGAAUAAGAUUUUUUUUUGUUCUGCAGUUAAAAAAAUACACUUUAUUUUUUUUAGAAUAAUUUUGGAUUUACAGAAAAGUUGAACAGAAAGUACAGAGCAUUCAGCAGCAUAAAAAAAAAAAAAAAAGCCAUGACCAAAUGGGAUUCAUACCAGGUAUGCAAGGAUGGUUCAAUAUUAGAAAAUUAAUCAAUGUAACCUACCACGUAAAUAACAGAAAGCAAAAAAAUCACACGAUCAUCUCCAUUGAUGCAGAAAAGGCAUUCGACAAAGUCCAACACCCAUUCCUGAUAAAAACUCUCAAUAAAAUAGGCAUAGAAGGGAAAUUCCUCAACAUAAUAAAGGGCAUCUUUACAAAACCAACUGCCAACAUCAUUCUUAAUGAAGAGAGGCUGAAAACUUUCCCCCUGAGAACAGGAACAAGACAAGGAUGCUCUUUAUCACAACUCCUACUUAACAUUGUGCUGGAAGUUCUACCUAGAGCAAUAAGGCAAGGAAAAGAAAUAAAGGGCAUCCAAUUUGGUAAGGAAGAAGUAAAACUCACCCUAUUUUGCAGAUGAUACUAUACAUAGAAAACUCAAAAGACUCCAUGAGAAAACUACUGGAACUAAUAGAAAGAUUCAGCAGAAUACCAGUAUAUGAAAUAAACAUACAAAAAGCAGUUGGAUUCCUAUACACCAAUAAAGAGAAUGACAAAAAGGAAAUCAGGAAAACAAUACCAUUUAUAAUAGCCCCCCAAAAAUGAAAUACUUAGGAAUAAAUCUAACCAGGGAUGUAAAAGACCUGUAGAAAGAAAACUACAAAACACUACUGUAAGAAAACCAAAAGAGAUCUACAUAAAUGGAAAAACAUACCAUGUUCAUGGAUAGGCAGACUUAACAUUGUGAAAAUGACAAUUCUACUGAAAGCAAUCUACAAAUACAAUGCAAUCCAGAUUCAAAUACCAAUAACAUUCUUUAAAGAGAGGGAAAAACUAAUCAUUAACUUUAUAUGGAACUGGAAGAGGCCCCAGAUAAGUAGAGCACUAUUCAAGAAGAAGAAUAAAGUAGGACUUGCACUACUUGACUUCAGAACCUACCAAACAGCUGCAGUAGUCAAAACAGCCUGGUACUGGUGCAACAAUAGAUACAUUAACCAAUGGGAACAGAAUUGAGAAUCCAGAGGUAAAUCCAUCCACCUAUGGUCACUUAUUGACUCAACGGCACUGGGUACUGGGUAUGGUCACUUAAUCUUUGACAAGGGCCCAAAAUCCAUCAAACAGGGGAAAAGUCAGUCUCUUUAAAAAAUGAUGCUGGCAAAACUGGAUGUCCAUCUGUAAAAAAAAUGAAACAGGCCCCAUACGUCACACUAUACAGAAAAACCAAUUCACAAUGGAUCAAAGACCUUAAUACAAAACCCAAAACUAUAAAGAUCAUGGAAGAAAAAAUAGGAUCAAUGCUACACUCAAACUCCAGCAGAUAAGCUAGAUAACUGGGAUCUUCUAAAAAUUAAACACUUAUGCUCAUCUAAAGACUUCACCAAGGUAAAGACAAGACAUAAUACUGGGGAGGUCAGCACAACUGGACUAAACCAAAAGCAAAGAAGUUUCCUGAAUAAACUGAAUGCUUGCAAGGCCAUCGUAGCAGGAGCAGGGGUUUGGAGACCAUCGUUUCGGGGGACAUCUAAGUCAAUUGGCAUAAUAAAAUCUAUUAAGAAAACAUUCUGCAUCCCACUUUGAAAUGUGGCGUCUGGGGUCAAAAAUGCUAGCAAGCCACCAUCUAAGAUGCAUCAAUGAGUCUCAACCCACCUGGCUCAAAGGAGAAUGAAAAACACCAAGGACACAAGGUAAUUAUGAGCCCAAGAGACAGAAAGGGCCACAUGAGCCAGAGACUACAUCAUCCGAAGACCAGAAGAACUAGAUGGUGCCCAGCUACAACCGAUGACUGCCCUGACAGGGAACACAACAGAGAACACCUGAGGGAGCAGGAGAGCAGUGGGAUGCAGACUCCAAAUUCUCAUAAAAAGACCAGACUUAAUGGUCUGACUAAGACUAGAAGGACCCCAGUGGUCAUGGUCCCCAGACCUUCUGUUGGCCUAGGACAGGAACCACUCCCGAAGCCAACUCUUCAGACAUAAAUUGCACUGAACAAUCGAUUGGAGAGGGAUGCUGGUGAGGAGUGAGCUUCUUGGAUCAGGUGGAUACUUGAGACUAUGUUGGCAUCUCCUACCUGGAGGGGGAGAUGAGAGGGUAGAGGGGACUAGAAGCUGGCGAAAUGGACAUGAAAAGAGAGAGUGGAGGGAGGGAGUGGGCUGUCUCAUUAGGGGGAGAGUAACUGGGAGUAUGUAGCAAGGUGUAUAUAAGUUUUUGUGUGAGAGAUUGACUUGAUUUGUAAACUUUCACUUAAAGCACAAUAAAAAUUAUAUAUAUAUAUAUAUAUAUAAAAAGACUUCACCAAAAGAGUAAAAAGAACCUACUGACUGGGAAACAAUUUUUUGCUACGACAAACCCAACAAAGGUCUGAUCUCUAAAAUCUGCAAGAAAAUCCUACACCUCUACAACAAAAAGACAAAUAAUACAAUUAAAAAAUGGGCAAAGGAAAUGAAUAGACACUUCACCAAAGAAGACAUUCAAGCAGCUAACAAACACAUGAGGAAAUGCUUGUGGUCACUAGCCAUUAGAGAAAUGCAAAUCGAAACCACAAUGAGAUACCAUCACACCCUGGCAUUACUGGCACGAAUCAAAAAGGCAGAAAAUAACAAAUGUUGGAGAGGCUACGGGGUGAUUGGAACUCUUACACACUGCUGGUGGGAAUGCAAAAUGGUACAAUCAUUUUGGAAAAUGAUAUGGCAUUUCCUUAGAAACCUAGAAAUAGAAAUACCUAUGAUCCCGCAAUCCCACUCCUAGAGAAAUAAGAGCUGUCACACGAACAGACGUAUACACACCCAUGUUCAUUGCAGCAUUUUUCACGAUAGCAAAAGAUGGAAACGACCUAGAUGCCCACCAACAGAUGAAUGGAUAAACAAACUGUGGUACAUACACACAAUGGAGUACUAUGCAACGAUAAAGAACAAUGGUGAAUCUUCGAAGCAUCUCACAACAUGGAUGAAUCUGGAGGGCAUUAUGCUGAGUGAAAUAAGCCAAUCACAAAAGGACAAGAAUUGUAUGAGACCACUAAUAUAAAAACUCACAAAAAGGUUUACACACAAAAAGAAACAAUCUUUGAUGGUUAUGAGGGAGGGAAAGAGUGGAGAUGAAAAAACACUAAAUAGACAAUAGAUAAGUGAUAACUUUGUGAAGGGUAAGACAGUACACAAUACUUGGGAAGCCAGCACAAAUUGUCCAAGGUAGGGUCAUGUAAGCUCCACAGACACAUCCAAAUUCCUUGAGGGACCUAAUUGCUGGGCUGAGGGCUGUGGGGACCAUGGUCUCAGGGAACAUCUAGCCCAAUUGGCAUAACAUAGUUUAUAAAGAAAAUGUUCUACAUUCUACCUUGGUGAGUAGAGUCUGGGGUCUUAAAAUCUUGUGACCGACUGGUCUCACCCCAUUUGGAUACUCCACUGGCCUCACCCUAUUUGGAGCAAGGGAGAAUGAAGAAAACUAAAGAUACAAGGGAAAGAUUAGUCCAAAGGACUAAUGGGCCACAACUACCACAGCUCCACCAGACUGACUCCAGUACAACUAAAUGGUGUCCAGCUACCACCACCGACUGCUCUGACAGGGACCACAAUAGAGGGUCCCAGACAGAGCUGGAGAAAAAUGUAGAGCAAAAUUCUAACGCACACAAAAAAGACCAGACUUACUGGCCUGACAGAGACUGGAGAAACCCCCGACAGUAUGGCCCCCAGACUCCCUUUUAACUCAGUGCUGAAGUCACUCCUGAGGUUCACCCUUCAGCCAAAGAUUAGACAGGCCUAUAAAACAAAACAAGACUAAAGGGGCACACCAGCCCAGGGGCAAGGGGGAGAAGGCAGGAGUGGACAGGGAAGCUGGUAAUGAAUGGGGAACCCAAGGUAGAGAAGAGGAGAAUGUUGACAUGUUGUAGGGUUGGCCACCAAUGUCACAAACAAUAUGCAUAUUAACUGUUUAAUGAGAAACUAUUUUGCUCUGUAAACCUCUUCUAAAGUACAAUUAAAAAAAAAAAGAAUCAGAGCGUUAAGGUGAUUCCUACGUAUAUUCCCAGUUACUUGUUGCAUAUUUAGAAAUACAUUGUUAUUAAGUCAAAUUCAGUAUUUCUAAAAGUAACAUCAAUUUUCUUCAACAAUUUCCACAACUAAUCUUAUUUUUGUCACAGCUACCAAAAUAGUGACAUUAUUUUUAACCGUAACUGCCCCUCUGUUUCAUCUUGUUUGUUACAAAGCUUCUAUUUAUUACAAAGCUGGUGCAAGAAUACUUGUCAACUGGAAACCCAUCCUCUGUUAUAUAGCAAAAUUUAUCAUUUAAAAAUGCUGGAGAGCGGGGGGAAGAAGUACAGAGUAUUCCCAUAUACCCACACCCAUUUCCUCCUCUUAUUAACCUCUUGCAUUCAUGUGGUACUUUUGUUACAACAGAGGAAUCGAUAUUUACACAUUAUCACUAACUAGGGUGCAUAGUUUAUAUCAGGGUUCACUCUGUGUUGUACAGUUCCUUGGGUUUUGAUAAAUGCAUGAUGUUGUGUGUCAACUAUUACAGUAUUAUAUAAAAUAGUUUCACUGACCUAAAAAUCCCAUGUGCAUCAUCUGUUUUUUUAAAAUAUUGUGUUUUUGGUGAACGUUCACACAGGAAAUUAGGUUCUCAUUUAACAAUUUCUGUACAUAUUUUUCAGUGACAUUGGUUACAUUUUUCACAAUAUGUCAGCAUUCUCACUAUUUCCAUUCUGGUUGUUCUGUUUUGAUUAAUCUGUCUUCCCUGUCCCCCUUGCCUUUUCAUCUUCGGUCUAGGGUAAGUGUUUACCAUUCAGUUUCAUUUAGAUGAUUAUUUUGAGGUGCACAGUACAUACGGGGGACAUUAUUUAUUUUAUGGGUCAAUCUGUCAUGUGGCUGAAAGGUGACCUCUGGGAGUGGUCUGAGUUCCAAGCUUAAAGAGUACCUUAUGGCAAUUAGCAUUGGGGGCUCAUCUAGUCUCUACCGGUUCAGUAAAUCUGCCCUUUUUUGAGGAAUUUGAGUUUUGUUCUACGUUCUUCUCCCUUUCUAUCUGGGACUAUCUAUUGAGUCCCUGGUCAGAAGGGUUGGUAGCCAGGCACCAUCUAGUUCUGGUCUCAAGGUAGGUGUUGUCAUUGUUCGUGUAGACCACUGGUUCUGUAGACUGAUUUCUUCUUUGAGUCUUUGGGUUCCUUCUUUCUCUUUUGCUCCAGAUGAAUAGAAACCAAUAGUUGUAUCUUAGAUGGCUAUUCGCAAGCUUUUAAGACCCUGAACGCUAUUUACCAAACUAGGAUGUAGAACAUGGUCUUUAUGGAGUAUAUUGUGCCAAUUGACUGGGUUGCUGCACGAGACUGUGAUCCUAAGCCCUCAACCCUAGUAGAUGAAUCCUGUGAGGUGUUUGGUUGUGUCUAGGAAGUACCCGUAGCUGUGCCCCCGAUGUGCUUUAUUUCAUAUUUGAUAGCUUAUGCAGCACACACACAUGUAUGUACACAUGCCCACAGUUAUACCUACACGCUGUGCCUCAUCUAUUGCUCUCUUCCCCCUCAACUGUUGACUAGACCUUUUUUUAAAACAGAAAGUAAAUCUGAUUUGCUGAUUGGUUUGAUAUUGAAGACUAGCUUUACCAUUGAAAUUAAUUGGCAGUAUUUUUAUUUUCCAUGAAUCAAGUGAGCUAAAUCUUUAGAUCCAGCUUUUUGAUGAAAAUAAAGUUUAAACCCUAUGAUAAGAUAAAACAUUUUAUCAAAAUUGUAUUGAAAUUAAAAAUAUUUCAAUUUCCCCCAGUCUGUUCAAUUUCUAAGUCCAUGGUUUAGACAUGUGCUUCCAGGCGAACACCUGAGGUGGCAGUUAUUUCAUUAGCUUUGGUAAAGCCUCUUUUGGUGUGCUUCCUAAAAAUAAGACUUGAGCAACUAACAAUGGUGACAAAUCCACAAGGGGUCCCAGGGUUUCUAAGCUUUGCUUUCAACAAAAUUGAAAGAACUACUAUCAUCAUUGGCAAUUAGUAGGUAAUUCAAAUUUAUGAUUAUUAUUAUUGGUUUGGUUGUUUGAGAUGUGGUGAUUUUUUGUUUUCUUUUUUCUGGUGAAAAUAUACUUAUCAAAACAUACACUAACUCAACAACUUCUAUGUGUACAGUUCAGUGACACUGAUUACAUUCUUCAAGGUGUGCAACCAUUCUCACUAUCCUUUGCCAAAUUCAAAUUAAUUUUUGAUGCUAGAUAUCUAUGUAAUUUUUGCAAAAAGAAAAAAAAUGCCCUUAGAAAAAAAGUAAAAGAUUGAGUGACUCUGCUGUAACAAAACCAACUACUUACUUAUGGGCACAAAACAACUAUGAUUGAUGGGAACAAGAUUUCUCAGUGCUUUAUAGUAUAUGAACAAAAAUGGGGAAAUAAUUAAUGCUAGCAAUUGGAAACCCUGGUGGCAUAGUGGUUAAGUGCUACGGCUGCUAACCAAAGGGUCGGCAGUUCAAAUCCACCAGGGGCUCCUUGGAAAUUCUAUGGGGCAGUUCUACUCUGUCCUGUAGGGUCACUAUGAGUCGGCACUGGGUUUAAUAAGAAAUGUUAUUCCAUGGGUUUAUUACCGAAUUGGGUAAAGUGCUGCAUUUGCCACCCCAAAGUUACUUUUUAAGAUAAAACUUCUUAUUUGAGAUAAUUGUAGAUUCACAUGCACCUGUAAGAAAUGUUCUGGGGGGAUCCCAUUACUCCGCCCAGUUCCUCUGAUGGAAACGGCUUGUAUAACUAUAGUACAACAUCACCAGUAACCAUGUUUAAUAAUGUUUAUGUUUAAUAAUGAUUUUUCAAGAUGUAUGAUAUAUUUAUAUUGUUUAUAUUACUUUGAGCAAUUGUAUACUAUCAAUAAUUGUAAUGACUUAUAAAUACAUUUUUAAUAUUUACAAAUUUAAGAUUACAGGAAAUUAAAAUUUCAAUGUAUAUGCUUUCUCUGGCAGAGAAGUAUGUUAUAUCGACCAACAAAACAUCUUCAAGCAUUUAAGAACAUAGUACAUUAGGAUAAGCUCCUAUGGAGAAAUUGAAAUAGAAUUUAUAAACUCAAGGAGAAAAAGGAACGAUGAAAUUUUUCCAAGAGUUAAAGAACUUAUUCUUGUAUAUUUUAAAUGGAUGAUAGUGGCAAUAAAAUUGAUAUUAUUUAUAUAGGAAACAAAAAGAAAGUUACAAAGGUUUUAUUUUAAAAUGUCAAUACGGACAACACAUUGGAAAUUACAUCCUUUACGGCUCUCUAAACUUACGAUGGGAACCCUGGUGGUGCAGCGGUUAAAAGCCUGGCCGCUAACCAGUGGCCGCCAGUUCGAAUCCACCAGCCGGUCCCUGGAAACGCUAUGGGAGCAAUUCUGCUCUGUCCUAUAGGGUCGCUAUGAGUUGGAACUCACUCGACAGCAACAGGUUUUAAGUCUAUGAUGCAACAUGUAUAAUGUCAAGUUAAAAACAAUUAAUGGAAUAAGUAGUUUUUCACAUUUUGGGAAGAUAGGAGCGCAAUAAGUUUUGACGAUAACUGCCGCUGUUUAUUUUUCCAUGCCUCUGUGGCCGGACCUUUUUUAUUUAGACUGUUUCCAGUUUUUGCCGCUAUUGCCGAUGCCACAGUGAACAUCACUGUACAUAUUCCUGGAGCCCAUGUGCAAGAUUUUCUUUAGGGUGUUGACCUGGAAGAGGAAUUAUUGACUUGAAAGAUAAGCUCUGGUUCAAUCCGCAUACCAAACCAAAAACCGGACUUGUUAUGGUGGAAUCCAUUCUGGCUAACAGCAACCCUAUUGGACACAGUAGAACUGCCCCACAGGGUUUCCAAGGGGUAGCUGGUGGAUUACAAAUGCUGACCUUUGGGUUAGCAACCUGAGCUCUUAACCACUCUGCCACCAGGGCUCCAUUCAAUCCCCAUAGCUAAUGACAAAUUUCUCUUCAAAGUGCUGAUACCAGUCUACACUCACACUGAUAGUGGGUGAGUUUCCUUUUACCCACUUGCUUUGUAAUCCUUGUUUUUGUAGGGUUUUUCAAUUCUGCCAAUCUGAUGGGCGUGAAUUGAUAUCCCAUUGUUUUAACUUGCAUCUCCUUUAUUAAGGUUGAAAUUGAGAGUCUUGUCAUUUUGGCCAGUCAGCUUCCUCUUCUGUGACUUGCCUGUUCGCAUCAUUUGCCCACAGCGCUACUGAGUGUCAGCACUGUUUAAGCAACUUGCAGGCACCAGAUACUGCCCUGCACACCAGAGCUAGGGCACUGACAGUACAAACUUUGUUGGUGCUGAACCUGAUUUCUUCCCCACCAGUUGUUCACUACUAAUUCCAACAACCAGAUGAGGCUUCAGCUUCUCUUUUUUGUUCACCGGCUGUCCCGAAUUCUGUUGUACUUUCAGUUAAGACUGACAAAAAACACCCUGAGGCAAAAUAAACUGCAUCAAAAUGCUUUCUCUCCCUCUUUUUCUAUCUCUAAGGCAAUUGGAUGUCUGGAAACAGUUUACCCAAAAUAGAAACUUUAAAAAGUCGGUGGAAUUUUUUUCUUUCUAUACAAGAUGGCUUAUUCUUCAUUUAGGGCACUAGCCAAGGAUCCAAGGGGUAACCUCAAAAAAAAAAUUUUUUUUUAAAAAAAAAACAAAAACAAAAAAAACCUUAACUUGAUCAUAAAGCUUUUCACUCCCACGUUUACAAACUGUCACCUUGCUGGUGGGAAGCCCCCCCAGUGUAACUUUCUGGGGAUCUGGGCCAUUCUCUGGGUUACCUGUGGGGUGGGCUGUGGGAGCUGGAGGAUGCAGCGACGGAAACAUUGCAGCCGACGGGAGGGCGAAUGUUUCCAUCAGCUAACCGCCACCGGAGACCAAGGGUGGGCGUGAACGCUCCAGCUCCGUAGCACGCUGACCCUUUACAGGAGCUGCUCCCCCAGGAAGGCGGUGGGGGGGGAUGGAGACCUGGAGAGAGGACGGCAGAGCAGGCGGAGGUUGGGAAGGAAAGUUAAGACGAGGGAAAAGGAAAGGGCUUUUCUGUCCCUUUCUUCUCGUCCUUGUCCUCCAGAGUCUCGCCCCUCUUUUGGUGGGGGCAGAGAACUUCUCAGGACAGUUUGCACACUCCACAACUAGCAGGAAGGAGAGGAAUGAGCUGCUGCCUCCACACCUCGGACUCUGAGAGAUUUUCCAGCUGCAGGACGUGCUGUUGUCGAUCUCACUUCUGAAGUUAAAGUGCCUUUCAAAUGGCCCUGGACACAGAGAAGUGAGACCUCCAGAGCUGCUGGAGAUGGCCAGCCCUCAGAUAUCCAGCACCAAGGUGACCCAAGGAUGGAAAAACCAGGACACCAUGGUGAGGAAGCAGGAAUCCAGGAUCCAGAACAUGGCGGCCAGUAACCAGUUUGUGGCAUCCUUCAAGUUCCCCCUGCCAGGGGCUUCAAAGUAGAAGCUGAAGAUCAGCCUCAGGGACUGUCAUACUUUGAGAAGUCGGCCAAGUACAGGGACCCCAGAAAUCUAGGUGAUCCUGACAAGAAGUUAAAGACGAGGGCUCUGUGGAGGGGAAGGAAGUAUUGUUCUUGGGCUUUUAAGAAUAAAGAAAAACAGUCAAGAAAUGAUGGAUAGAGUCAGUAACCUUGUCUUACUUAUGCCUGAAAAGCCAUCUUUUCAAAUGGAGGAAUUGGUAAUGUGUUUAGCUGCUGUCGUAACGAAUUCUACUUCUAUGAAAAAGUGUAAGUGGGUAGAAAAGAAUUUUAAUUCCUCUCUUGCUUCUAACCACACUUCUGUGCAGCUUGGCGUUAACGUCACGAAGCCACAGCCAGAGCAGCUCUGCGUAUCUGGGGUGGUGAAUUUUAGGCAAAUAUAGAGGAAAAAAAAAUGAUGUGGGUUGAUGGGAAAACUAAAAACAGAAAGUGAGGGUAAGUGUCACAUCCAAUGAGUAAAUGGCAGCUGGAGAAUUAGGUUUUCAUGCAGUGCUGAAUGAAAUCGUGUGAGCUCUGAAAGGAAUUUUGAACGCUAUUAGGUCUUCUGCCACUACCGUGUCCGCUGUUUCUCCCCACCCUCAGUUCCAGUGCUCAUUUACCCUUAUAUCACUGCUCCCUUUGUGUAUGCCUCUUUGUAAGUUGUCCCAAACCCUUUUUGGAAUUAGGCAGUGCAAGAAUCAAUGAAAGAGUUGAUUCUUAGAAGCUUCCCGAUGUUGUUAAAUUUUGAAAAGGCAAGUUAGUUGAUAAAAGUAAAAGGAGGAAUCAUGGUUAUUUUAAUUUCACUAUUUAAGUAAAUACAAAAAAAAUUUUUUUUUAAGUAAAAUGCAUUCCUUUUCAAAGGAAUUUCAAAAUUUCCUGGGGAAAGUUUGCUUUUUAACGGUCCCACCCAGUGUUGACAGCCAGGCGUAUUUCCUUCUGUAGCAGGCGUUCUGCCUGCUCACACAGCCAUAUACACACAGGUAUCAACACAGGUGCAGUUUUCUACGGGUCAUUACUUGUUUUACAAAAAUGGGAUCCUGUUUUAAAUACUUCGCCACGUUCUGCUUUCCCUCCCUGACAAUAUACCCUGGAAAUCUCUCCGAAUCACUCUUCAGAUGGCUGCAUAAUAUUUUAGGGCGAAGAGAGGCCACUCAUUUAUUCAGCCAUUCCCUACUGAUGAACUUGGUAUUGUUUCUAGUUUUUAUUUUGCCCAAACAAACAAUAUUGAAAUGAAGAUCUCUGCUUAUUCUUAUGUAAUGAUGCUUUUAAUUUCAUAGUUCCAGGCAUAUUGAAUUAGAGUAUAUGAUUGAUAUUAAAUGUUACUAGAUAUUGCCAGAUCUUUUUCCUAAAGACUGUAGCAUCUGAUAAUACCUCAGCAGCCCCUCUGGGUGCCCUCUGUCCACACCUUUCCUGGGGUAAGUGUAACCACCCUUUCACAUUUUCACCUACUGAAGUACAAAUGACAGGUUUCCAUUCUUCUGGGAAAUGUAUUUUUAACCAUGACUGAAUCACAUCCCAUUCUAUUAAGACAAAAUUUUGGUAUAGUGAUCACAGCAGGAGAAAUGAGAACAUGUGGACCAAGCUUCAUUUCUUAGACCCCUAGACACACGAAGGUGGGAAUUUAGUUUGGAUGAUAAUAGCAGAGGGGAAAGAGGGUGGAGACAUUGAGUUCCUAUCAGUAGGGUCUGACCAGGCUCAGACAUGGGAGAGCUUCACUGAAAGGCCCUGUGCUUUGGAACAACCAGAAACGGUUUAUGAGGCAAACACCUCCCCCUGCCCAGCCUCACCUGCUACACAGGGACACACAAGGGCGCACUCACUCUGAAAUUCGGGUGAUAAAGUCCCGACAGCAUCAUUCCCUCUUCCUUGACAAGCUCCUUUAUGUGCUGGGGAGGGCUGUCCCCCAAGAUAAUGUAAGCCCAUGGGGGUUAGGACAAAGGAAGCGGUGAGAAACUAUUAGACCAGGGACUGUCUCCCCUGCAAGCCACAGUGAGUCUUUCUGCUUGCCUUGUUCAAACCCUUGUCCCUCACCCCAACAUGAGCUGCCAGAGUGGGAUUCUGAGUUUCUGGGGAGGCAGCCUUUGAGCAGGGCCAAGGAAAGGACUUCCACAAAGGCCAGCUUGUCUUGUAGAGUCACCUUUCUGCCCUGCUUCUAACCCAGAAGCAUGGUGUGGCUGCAGAAAAGAUGAUGAGGCAGGAAGAAGGAUUGACUUGAGUUCUGGCUUCCCUGGCCCUGGCCUACCCGGAGGCCCCAUGAUCUCAGGCCAGUACCACCUUUGAUGCUGGCCAAGUCUCCUUUUCCCCCCUUCCCCAUGUCCCCCAAGCUUGGCUGAGGCCUGGAGUGGGGGUAGGGGUAGAAGUGGGAGGCAGAGAUCAUGGCCUCCCUUUUGCUUGGCCUGGUCCUACCCAACCAGCAGUUUAGCCAAGCAGCCAGCUUCAGGUCACAGGAUGCUGAAGGGGUGCGGAGGAGGGGGGUGUGUUGAGGAAGAUGGGCCUCCGCCUCCUAGCCAACACCACUUUAAAUCUUCCCCUCUUAGCUUUGCCCCCACCCAACCGCAGAGUCCUCCACAAAAUCUACUGUGAGAGGCUGCAAACAUCUCCCUCAGCUGAACACAAGUUCUCAUGAGGAGAAAAUAAAUGCCUUCUGACUGGUGUUAGCAUCACCUGGCUCUUUAUUUAUUCUUUUAUUUUAUUGUCUGUCCAGGCGCCGAGGGCACUCACUCUCACGGUCAUGUGAAUGCCAACCCUACGUCUCUGUCCCCCAAGAGGACACAGCAUCUGUUCUGUCCCCCAAGAUGAUGUGAGCCCAUGAGGGUAGGGACAGUGUCUGUUCUGUCCCCCAAAGAUGAUGUGAGCCCAUGAGGGUAGGGACAGUGUCUGUUCUGUCACCCAAGAUGAUGUGAGCCCAUGAGGGUAGGGACAGUGUCUGUUCUGUCACCCAAGAUGAUGUGAGCCCAUGAGGGUAGGGACAGUGUCUGUUCCUGCUGGAUCUUCAGGGCCUAGAGCACAUGCUAGGUGCUCAAUUAAUAUCUCCUUUGUUGAGUUUGUCUUCUCCAGGGUGCUUGUCAGUCAAGCUUGGCAGAGUAAACUUUCAGCGGUGUUUGAUAAACUGUGGGUAGAGAAUUCGAGUCUCACAGCCGUGAGAAGCAGAGGAAGGUGAUGGUGGGGACAGCCAUCAGGAGAGACACCGAGAGGGGAGGGCUAGGGAAGGCAGCGCUCCUGGCUAACUGACAUCAGGAGCAGAGCCUGCUCGUGGAAGCCUGCAGACCUCCUGGUGAAGGAGCCUUCCUGUUUCCAUCCACUUAUUCAUUAGAUUACAGCCUUGAGGCUUAGGGAUGCUGACCACUUGUACUGGUGAUGGGAAAGAGCCUGAGGGCUCCCCUAGGCUUUGGUCCCCACAGCUGAUGAGGAACCAGCCAGCAAAGGGGUGAUGGAUGCUGAGAAGCCUCUUUGGUAAGUGCAGUGGAGCAAGGCUGUAGCCCUGGAGGGCUGGGCUGUGUCUGCAGUGGUCCUUCUGCAGCCCUUGUCCCAGCCCGGGGCCAGCCAGACACAUAGAAGGUACCCAGCACAGAUACAUGUGAGCUGACAUCACAAAGCCUCAGGAAUGGCUGAA